rnacentral:rRNA from 1 species
GAUGAACGCUGGCGGCGUGCCUAAUACAUGCAAGUCGAGCGAACGGACGAGAAGCUUGCUUCUCUGAUGUUAGCGGCGGACGGGUGAGUAACACGUGGAUAACCUACCUAUAAGACUGGGAUAACUUCGGGAAACCGGAGCUAAUACCGGAUGAUAUUUUGAACCGCAUGGUUCAAAAGUGAAAGACGGUCUUGCUGUCACUUAUAGAUGGAUCCGCGCUGCAUUAGCUAGUUGGUAAGGUAACGGCUUACCAAGGCAACGAUGCAUAGCCGACCUGAGAGGGUGAUAGGACACACGGAAUAUGAGACACGGUCCAGACUAUUAGGGGAGGCAGAAGUAGGGAAUCUUCCGCAAUGGGCGAAAGCCUGACGAAGCAACGACUCGUGAGUGAUGACGGUCUUCUGAUCGUAAAACUCUGUUAUUAGGGAAGAACAUAUGUGUAAGUAACUGUGCACAUCUGGACGGUACCUAAUCAGAAAGCCACGGCUAACUACGUG